AGAGUUUGAUCCUGGCUCAGGAUGAACGCUGGCGGCGUGCUUAACACAUGCAAGUCGAACGGAAAGGCCUUGUGCUUGCACAGGGUACUCGAGUGGCGAACGGGUGAGUAACACGUGGGUGAUCUGCCCUGCACUGUGGGAUAAGCCUGGGAAACUGGGUCUAAUACCAUAUAGGACCGCAUCUUGGAUGGUGUGGUGGAAAGCUUUUGCGGUGUGGGAUGAGCCUGCGGCCUAUCAGCUUGUUGGUGGGGUAAUGGCCUACCAAGGCGGCGACGGGUAUCCGGCCUGAGAGGGUGUACGGACACAUUGGGACUGAGAUACGGCCCAGACUCCUACGGGAGGCAGCAGUGGGGAAUAUUGCACAAUGGGCGCAAGCCUGAUGCAGCGACGCCGCGUGGGGGAUGAAGGCCUUCGGGUUGCAAACUCCUUUCGCUAUCGACGAAGCCACUUGUGGUGACGGUAGGUAGAUAAGAAGCACCGGCUAACUACGUGCCAGCAGCCGCGGUAAUACGUAGGGUGCAAGCGUUGUCCGGAAUUACUGGGCGUAAAGAGCUCGUAGGUGGUUUGUCGCGUCGUCUGUGAAAUCCCGGGGCUUAACUUCGGGCGUGCAGGCGAUACGGGCAUAACUUGAGUGCUGUAGGGGAGACUGGAUUCCUGGUGUAGCGGUGAAAUGCGCAGAUAUCAGGAGGAACACCGAUGGCGAAGGCAGGUCUCUGGCCAGUU
rnacentral:rRNA from 1 species